rnacentral:rRNA from 1 species
UGGGGAAUAUUGCACAAUGGGCGCAAGCCUGAUGCAGCCAUGCCGCGUGUAUGAAGAAGGCCUUCGGGUUGUAAAGUACUUUCAGCGGGGAGGAAGGGAGUAAAGUUAAUACCUUUGCUCAUUGACGUUACCCGCAGAAGAAGCACCGGCUAACUCCGUGCCAGCAGCCGCGGUAAUACGGAGGGUGCAAGCGUUAAUCGGAAUUACUGGGCGUAAAGCGCACGCAGGCGGUUUGUUAAGUCAGAUGUGAAAUCCCCGGGCUCAACCUGGGAACUGCAUCUGAUACUGGCAAGCUUGAGUCUCGUAGGGGGGGUAGAAUUCCAGGUGUAGCGGUGAAAUGCGUAGAGAUCUGGAGGAAUACCGGUGGCGAAGGCGGCCCCCUGGACGAAGACUGACGCUCAGGUGCGAAAGCGUGGGGAGCAAACAGG